rnacentral:rRNA from 1 species
UACAGGGGGUGCAAACGUUGCUCGGAAUCAUUGGGCGUAAAGCGCACGUAGGCGGCGCGGCAAGUCAGGGGUGAAAUCCCGGGGCUCAACCCCGGAACUGCCCUUGAAACUGCAGUGCUAGAAUCUUGGAGAGGCGAGUGGAAUUCCGAGUGUAGAGGUGAAAUUCGUAGAUAUUCGGAAGAACACCAGUGGCGAAGGCGACUCGCUGGACAAGUAUUGACGCUGAGGUGCGAAAGCGUGGGGAGCAAACAGG